CCUUUCGAGGGGCGUGGCCAAGCCGGCGAGUGGGCGGUGCUGCCGUCCACACCGCUUCCUGGAGUGGCUUGUUGCCAUGGCGACGGCGGCUUGCUGAGGCCUACCCGAGCAGGCCAGCGCCAGACAGACCCCCGCCUCGGGCCGCCGCCGGCAUGAACUACACCGGCAGCUCCUAUAGCGGCAGCCGCGUCCACGGCAGGUUGGAGGGUUCAGGCUCUUACACCCUCCCAACAGAAACCAAGUACGUUGGUGAAAUGAAAGACGGGAUGUUUCACGGCAAAGGAACCUUGUUCUUCCCCAGUGGAAGCAAAUAUGAAGGGACGUGGCAAUUUGGAAAAUGCACAGAGGGGAAAUACACCUUUGCCGAUGGGCUGGAAUACAAAGACAAGAAAUGGCAUUACUGUGACGGCUACGACAGGAGGUUCUAUACGGAGAUCUGCAAGGGCCUGAAGCCAGCAGGCAUUUCCCAGCUCACCAACCUGGACCCGCCUCGGGCCAUUCCGAAAGGCUGCUAUGACUGCGGCGAUGGUUUCUACAACCCCAAGACCCGAGUGGUCAUUGACUACGAGUACCGGUUCCUGAGGAAUGCAGAUGACGACGAGCAUGAGUGGAUCGUCAGAACCUGCCGCAAAGGCUGGGACGAGAUCGUGGGCUUUAAGCCGAAGCCACCGGCCUCUCUGGAGAAAUCGGAGAACCAGGCUCCCCCUUGACGCCUCCAGCUUCUGUGCACGAGGACCCGGUCCCUAUAAUUUCUACAUUAAGACCCUGGGAAAACCUGGAGAGACGGGAACAAAUUAAUGCCCCAGCAACCCUACAGAGCUCUGAGAUGGCGAGAGGAACUGUUUGUGGAGGCGUGUGUGGGGUGAGUGGUGGGCCAUUCAGACAGUAAACUUCUAACACUGAA